CUCUUUUUGAUUAUAAUUUAAAGUAGGGCCUGCCCACUGAAUUUUGAAGGGCCGCAGUAUUUUGACUGUGCAAAGGUAGCAUAAUCAUUAGUUUUUUAAUUGAAAGCUUGUAUGAAUGGUUUGAUGAGAAAAUUUCUGUCUCAAUUUUAAUAAUUUAAAAUUUUAUUUUUAAGUCAAAAAGCUUAAAUAAUUUUAAAAGACGAGAAGACCCUAUAGAGUUUUAUUAAAAGUAGUUUUAUAAAUUUUAGAAUUUAAUUUUUUUAAUAUUAUUUUUAAUUGGGUUGGGGUGACUAAAAAAUUUAAUUAACUUUUUUUUUAUAAAUACAUUAAUUUAUGAUUAAUUGAUCCAUUUAAAUGAUUAAAAGAUUAAAUUACCUUAGGGAUAACAGCGUAAUUUUUUUUGAGAGUUCUUAUUGAAAAAAAAGAUUGCGACCUCGAUGUUGGAUUAAAAUUUAUUUUUGGUGUAGAAGCUAAAAUAUUAGGUCUGUUCGACCUUUGAAAUUUUACAUGAUCUGAGUUU
rnacentral:rRNA from 1 species